rnacentral:tRNA from 1 species
GCGGUAAUACUGCGCCAACCUGCCUUCCAAGCAGGCUGUCGCGGGUUCGAGCCCCGUCUUCCGCU